UGAUUUGGGCUGAGCGAGACGACUUUGAAACAGCGACAUGUGCAUUUAACACAGGACUCAGGUUAGAUCGCAUCACCUUCGUGAUGUGUAAUUUUUUUUUCUUACCGGAAUAUGAUCCUAUCCCCGAAAAAAGGAAACUUCAAAAUCAACGUAAGCUUAUCGAGUGUUGACCUCACUCUGCGCUCUGGUGAGAGUGAUUCCCAUGGCGUCUUCGAUUCAUCCCUCUCUGUCCGCCUUCAAUCCAUCGGGUUACAACCCUACUCGGCGCCUCUCCUUUCAUCGUCAGGUUCGCGUUGUUUCACAGUCCAAUAGAUCUACCCUGAAGGCAUCCAAGCCAUUGAGACUAGAUGGUAACUGUGCGAGGGUAAUGGCAUCAGGGAGUGUGUCCCAAGGAAGCAGAGCUUCAACAACAGAAGACGUUCUAGAGUGGGUCAAGCAGGACAAGCGAAGAAUGCUUCAUGUUGUAUAUUGUGUUGGGGAUUUAGACAGGACCAUCAAAUUUUAUACAGAGUGCCUGGGAAUGAAGCUACUUAGAAAACGUGAUAUACCAGAGGAGAGAUACACUAAUGCCUUUCUUGGAUAUGGACCUGAAGAUGCACACUUUGUUAUUGAACUGACAUACAAUUAUGGGGUUGAUGCAUAUGAUAUUGGAAAUGGAUUUGGCCAUUUCGGCAUUGCUGUUGAUGAUCAGGUUGAAAAGACAGUAGAACUCAUUAGAGCUAAGGGUGGCAAAAUAACUAGAGAGCCUGGUCCUGUUAAGGGAGGCAGCACAAUAAUUGCUUUCAUUGAAGAUCCAGAUGGUUAUAAAUUUGAGCUUUUGCAAAGAGGUCCCUCUCCUGAGCCUUUGUGCCAAGUAAUGCUUCGAGUAGGUGAUCUUAAUCGUUCCAUAGAAUUUUACGAGAAGGCUUUUGGUAUGGAACUUCUUCAUACACGAGAUAAUCCUGAGCAAAAGUAUACCAUUGCAAUGCUUGGUUAUGGUCCUGAAGAUAAAAGUGCUGUUUUGGAAUUGACUUACAACUAUGGAGUGACUGGAUAUGGUAAAGGAAAUGGUUAUGCUCAGAUUGCAGUGGGUACAGAUGAUGUAUACAGGACUGCUGAAGCUAUUAAACUUGUUGGAGGACAGAUUACUCGGGAACCUGGACCAUUACCUGGCAUCAACACAAAAAUAACAGCAUGCUUAGAUCCUGAUGGUUGGAAGACGGAUGUAUCAACACGAGGCUAACAAGAUCCAGUGUGACAAUAAGUCAACUGUUGCUGUGAUGAGGAAGCCAGUGUUCCAUGAUUAGGCAAAGCAUAUCAAGAUCAGGUAUCACUUCACAAGGGAGGCAGUGAAAGAAAAUGAGGUUUUUGUAGAUAAUGUUGAUUUUGUCAAGGAGUUGGAAUAGAGUUUCGGAUCUUCAUCUUUGCAAUGAUGAGAGACUGACAUCAAACCACUGGCAAAGCAAAGAUAUUCUCCACUGAAGCUGCUCGCAGCCUUGCACGAUACAAUGUAUCAUAUUCAAAUCCGAGUUUUGUAGAUAGUGCAUUUAUGACUACAGCAAUGACCCAAGUUGUCAAUUUCUUUAGUUUUAUACAGUGAAGCAAGCUGGUUUGAAGCUCGAAUCCCCUUAUUUCUUCAAUUCCUGUACUCUUAACGUUUUUGUAAUAUUACAGUGUCUAAAUUUUAUAGCAUGAAAAUCUAGGUCAAUUUGCUCAGUUUAA